AGCCCCCCGGGGGGGGGACUGUCUGAAUGAGGAGGAUCGGAAGUAGCCUCUGGACUGGAACUUUUAACAAAUUUCAGUUUGAAUCUCAGGAGACUAACGUUGUGGUGAUUGAGCUCUUUAGGAGAGGUGAAGACCCAGGGGGAAAUAGUUCUCUUUAGGAGAGGUGAAGACCCGUGGGGAAAUGGUUCUCUUUUGGAGAGGUGAAGACCCGUGGGGAAAUGGUUCUCUUUAGGAGAGGUGAAGACCCAGGGGGAAAUGGUUCUCUUUAGGAGAGGUGAAGACCCAGGGGGAAAUGGUUCUCUUUAGGAGAGGUGAAGACCCAGGGGGAAAUGGUUCUCUUUAGGAGAGGUGAAGACCCAGGGGGAAAUAGUUCUCUUUAGGAGAGGUGAAGACCCAGGGGGAAAUGGUUCUCUUUAGGAGAGGUGAAGACCCAGGGGGAAAUGGUUCUCUUUAGGAGAGGUGAAGACCCAGGGGGAAAUGGUUCUCUUUAGGAGAGGUGAAGACCCAGGGGG